ensembl:miRNA
AGAGCAGCUUUGCAUGAGUCAGUUUAAAAUGAACCGUGACUCAUUCUGAGCUGUGAAGU